AUUGAACGCUGGCGGCAGGCCUAACACAUGCAAGUCGAACGAGUGGCGGACGGGUGAGUACUGUCUGGGAAACUGCCUGAUGGAGGGGGAUAACUACUGGAAACGGUAGCUAAUACCGCAUACCAUCGGAUGUGCCCAGAUGGGAUUAGCUAGUAGGUGGGGUAACGGCUCACCUAGGCGACGAUCCCUAGCUGGUCGGAGAGGAUGACCAGCCAAACGGGAACGGAGACACGGUCCAGACUCCUAGGGAAGGCAGCAGUGGGGAAUAUGGCACAAUGGGGGCAAGCCUGAGGCAGCCAUGCCGGGGGUAUGAAGAAGGCCUUCGGUUUGUAAAGUACUUUCAGCGGGGAGGCGUUACCCGCAGAAGAAGCACCGGCUAACUCCGUGCCAGCAGCCGCGGUAAUAC
rnacentral:rRNA from 1 species